UACGAAGGGGGCUAGCGUUGCUCGGAAUCACUGGGCGUAAAGCGCACGUAGGCGGCUUCUUAAGUCAGGGGUGAAAUCCUGGAGCUCAACUCCAGAACUGCCUUCGAUACUGAAGAGCUCGAGUCCGGGAGAGGUGAGUGGAACUGCGAGUGUAGAGGUGAAAUUCGUAGAUAUUCGCAAGAACACCAGUGGCGAAGGCGGCUCACUGGCCCGGUACUGACGCUGAGGUGCGAAAGCGUGGGGAGCAAACAGG
rnacentral:rRNA from 1 species